rnacentral:rRNA from 1 species
ACUCCUACGGGAGGCAGCAGUGGGGAAUAUUGCACAAUGGGCGCAAGCCUGAUGCAGCGACGCCGCGUGAGGGAUGACGGCCUUCGGGUUGUAAACCUCUUUCAGUAGGAGAGCGAAGUGACGGUACCUGCAGAAGAAGCACCGGCUAACUACGUGCCAGCAGCCGCGGUAAUACGUAGGGUGCGAGCGUUAUCCGGAAUUAUUGGGCGUAAAGAGCUCGUAGGCGGUUUGUCGCGUCUGUCGUGAAAGUCCGGGGCUUAACCCCGGAUCUGCGGUGGGUACGGGCAGACUAGAGUGCAGUAGGGGAGACUGGAAUUCCUGGUGUAGCGGUGGAAUGCGCAGAUAUCAGGAGGAACACCGAUGGCGAAGGCAGGUCUCUGGGCUGUAACUGACGCUGAGGAGCGAAAGCAUGGGGAGCGAACAGGAUUAGAUACCCUGGUAGGCGUAG